GAUGAACGCUGGCGGCGUGCCUAAUACAUGCAAGUCGAGCGAACGGACGAGAAGCUUGCUUCUCUGAUGUUAGCGGCGGACGGGUGAGUAACACGUGGAUAACCUAUCUAUAAGACUGGGAUAACUUCGGGAAACCGUAGCUAAUACCGGAUAAUAUUUUGAACCGCAUGGUUCAAAAGUGAAAGACGGUCUUGCUGUCACUUAUAGAUGGAUCCGCGCUGCAUUAGCUAGUUGGUAAGGUAACGGCUUACCAAGGCAACGAUGCAUAGCCGACCUGAGAGGGUGAUCGGCCACACUGGAACUGAGACACGGUCCAGACUCCUACGGGAGGCAGCAGUAGGGAAUCUUCCGCAAUGGGCGAAAGCCUGACGGAGCAACGCCGCGUGAGUGAUGAAGGUCUUCGGAUCGUAAAACUCUGUUAUUAGGGAAGAACAUAUGUGUAAGUAACUGUGCACAUCUUGGCGGUACCUAAUCAGAAAGCCACGGCUAACUACGUG
rnacentral:rRNA from 1 species